ACCCUAGUGGCCAAAUGGAUAAGGCACUGGCCUUCUAAGCCAGGGAUUGUGAGUUUAAUUCUUGUCAGGGGCG
rnacentral:tRNA from 1 species